AUGAAAGCGUAGAAGAGGAAAGUAGUUAGUAACAGACUCCUACAGAGAACCGCAAAUGCUGAGAAGCGGUGUUGUCGUUGCUAAUGAAACUCACCUCGGAGUAUUAGCCUGAAUCAUUUUUUAGUAGGGUUAAUCGGGUGUAACACAGCACUCGUUAUCAAAACGUGAUAAGUUAUAGCUUAUCCAUAAGAUCAAACGAAUGGUUUGAUGAAUAAGGGUGGUACCGUGGAAAGAAAAUCUUUUCGCCCCUUUU
rnacentral:ncRNA from 1 species